AUUGAGAGACGUUUGGGAAUCAUGCUCACACAAGAAGGCUGUGGCUUUUGGCAUCUUUGCCCUUGAAUGGAACCUGUCAUCGGUCGUAGCUCGCAUAUGGGCAGUGUUCAUGUUAUUUGUGGCGUUCAGAUGUUAUCAACAAUCACUUGUGAGAGAUGAUUGGGUAGAGGAUGAAGCGAAAUGUGAGACCACGUGUCAAGUGCAGAUUGGAGGACAAAGACAAAGGCGUAGGCCUACCUUAGUGGAAUUAAAAGAAAGAAAA